rnacentral:rRNA from 1 species
CCGGCCACGGUGCAUUAGCUAGUUGGUAAGGUAAAGGCUUACCAAGGGCGAUGAUGCAUAGCCCGAGUUGAGAGACUGAUCGGCCACAUUGGGGACUGAGACACGGCCCAAACUCCUACGGGAGGCAGCAGUAGGGAAUCUUCCACAAUGGACGCAAGUCUGAUGGAGCAAACGCCGCGUGAGUGAAGAAGGUUUUCGGAUCGUAAAGCUCUGUUGUUGGUGAAGAAGGAUAGAGGUAGUAACUGGCCCUUUAUUUGACGGUAAUCAACCAGAAAGUCACGGGCUAACUACGUGCCAGCAGCCGCGGUAAAAU